AUGUAGUGGGGUGUCAUUCCAUCCAGUGCUUGGCUGUGUUGUGUUCUCCUCUGUGACUCUGACAGCAAGACACAGUGGGGAGCUGUGUUUGGAGUCCUCUCUGGGGACUGAAAACCAGAGCAGGGUUCUCUGCUCCACGAUUAUGGAGAAAAUCAGAGCAAGAUACAGUAAUAGGAGGUGCUGGAGGGAAGGAAAGGAAAAAAAAAGUUUACCCCAGCAGUUACUCAGCAUCAAAACCACAGCCAACGCCGCGGCCGAGAAAGCCCUGUGCUUGGUUGCAGUGCUAUGCCGAGCCGUCUCCUUUCACCCUGGCCGACUGCAGCGCUGGGACAGGGAAAGAGUCCAUUCCCUCCAGAAUUAGAGCCUGGACCACUGCCAAGGGCGACACCGUGGAGCUACCAGAU